rnacentral:rRNA from 1 species
CACCGCCGCGGGAAUACGAAGGGUGCAAGCGUUACUCGGAAUUACUGGGCGUAAAGCGUGCGUAGGUGGUGGUUUAAGUCCGUUGUGAAAGCCCUGGGCUCAACCUGGGAAUUGCAGUGGAUACUGGGUCACUAGAGUGUGGUAGAGGAUAGUGGAAUUUCCGGUGUAGCAGUGAAAUGCGUAGAGAUCGGAAGGAACAUCUGUGGCGAAGGCGACUAUCUGGGCCAACACUGACACUGAGGCACGAAAGCGUGGGGAGCAAACAGGAUUAGAGACCCCUGUAGUCCCUGUCUCUUAUACA